GAGUAAAUUUUUGGGGUGCCAUUCCCCGGGGAUUUCCCGUUGACGGCAGUUAAACGCCAUUAAGGUGCCCCCCCCUGGGGGAGUACGGCCCGCAAAGGCUAAAAACUCAAAGGAAUUGACGGGGACCCCGCACAAGCGGCGGAGCAUGCCGGAUUAAUUGGAUGCGAGGGCGAAGAACCUUACCCAAGGCUUGACAUAUACGAGGACGGGCCAGAAAUGGUCAACUCUUUUGGACCACUUCGUAAACAGGUGGUGCAUGGGUGGUCGUCAGCUCGUGUCGUGAGAUGUUGGGUUAAGUCCCGCAACGAGCGCAACCCUCGUUCUAUGUUGCCAGCACGUCAUGGUGGGAACUCAUGGAAUACUGCCGGGGUCAACUCGGAGGAAGGUGAGGAUGACGUCAAAUCAUCAUGCCCCUUAUGUCUUGGGCUUCACGCAUGCUACAAUGGCCGGUACAAUGGGCUGCAAUACCGCAAGGUGGAGCGAAUCCCAAAAAGCCGGUCCCAGUUCGGAUUGAGGUCUGCAACUCGACCUCAUGAAGUCGGAGUCGCUAGUAAUCGCAGAUCAGCAACGCUGCGGUGAAUACGUUCCCGGGUCUUGUACACACCGCCCGUCAAGUCAUGAAAGUCGGUAACACCUGAAGCCGGUGGCCCAACCCUUGUGGAGGGAGCCGUUGAAGGUGG
rnacentral:rRNA from 2 species